AACAAGCAGACCAGGUCAGGAUUUGGGGAUUGAGAAGUCAAUGAGAGAAGUGAACAAUUCUUCCUUAGUUGUUACUUUUCUAGAAAUCUAAAGGCACAACCUAGAUUCGAGCCAGUGUUAGUUGAACAUGUUAAUACUCCAAUCUCAUUUUCGUCAAAAAUAACUUUAAAUCGACAGAGUGCCUUUGAUUUUACGGCCUUUACAUGCACAGUUCGGCGCGAGACGACCGUUAGACCCGAUAACGUAUUGUGGGCAUGAGUUUAGAUAACCAACAUCGCCUAGAAACGUGGUCGGGGAUUUAUAUCGGAGAAGCAGUUUCUUCCUAUCUUCACACUAUGCUCUCUUCGUGUGAACCUUUCCGGUAGAUAAAAAAUAAACCAGACGGAACAAGAACGAAUGGGAGGCGACAGACAAUCACAAACAGGAACUGUUUUUUUCUCUCGACAUUUUGAGUAGGCCCAAGAUUAUUUUCACGAGCUGUAUAACGAGUAAUGUUUGUGUAGCUACACAACACAUUUCAGUUUGUUAAGAUGAGACUUCGGUCUCGAAGUAUUGCUGACCCUUCAUCAGCACGGUUUAACGGUCGGUGGAACUCAAAGAGAGAGGCGCGGAACGUAACUCAAAAGGAUGAAGAGGUACAACAGCCAGAUGACCAGUCACUCUACUCUGAUGAUAUCCCCACCGCUACAAAGCGCCCUCUUAUACAAGGGCGUGGGAGGAAAAGAGUGGCAGCCCUAGACUAUGAAGACAGAGAAGAUCUGGGCUUCAAGACCCCUGUUAAUGUGCGCCAUCACCGGGUGCUGUCGGAGCUAAACCCCUCCUUUCCCCUCAAUUCCACUGUGCGAAAUAUCUACUCCCCUGUUGUCCAUUUCCUCACUCCUACCAAGGAAAAUGUGAGAACCCCCAGCAGUGCUGAUGUGAUGAGCCCAGAGCAGUGUGUGUUUGGCUAUGGUUCCAUUAGCCUUCUCGCUGGAGAUGAGGACCGCAAUGACACUUUCAGCCCCUUCUCUUUCAUCAAGAACAUUCCAUCCAAGUGCCAGCAAUCCAAACCCUGCAUAAGAGACAUCCCACCUAAGACAAGGAGUACUCCCCAAGCCACGCUAGUUUUAGAUCUGGAUGAAACGCUCAUGUACAGCUCUCUGAAUGUGAUUGAGGAUGCAGAGUACACCUUCCGCACAUGCUUCCAGGACAAUCCGUACAAGGUCUACGUGAUUCUACGACCAUAUGUGAAAGAAUUUCUGGAAGCCAUGACAAAACAUUUUGAGAUGUUUGUUUAUACAUCUGCGAAGAAAGAAUAUGCAGAGAAAAUACUGGACAUCUUGGACCCGAAGAGAAGGCUUUUUCGACACCGUUUGUAUCAACAGGACUGUACCUGUGUUCUGGGGCACUAUGUCAAGGACUUGGGUGUACUUGAGAGGGACCUUGCUAAAACAGUGGUUUUGGACAACGCUCCACACACGUACCCCUACCAUCUGAUGAAUGUGCUUCCCAUCAAGAGCUGGUCUGGAAAUGAUGAUGACAAAGAACUUCAGAAGCUCAUCCCGUGUCUUGAGAGACUGUCAGGAGCAGCUGUACGACUAUGACAAGGCGUCAAGCCACCAACCCAGAACAUGGCAAGGAGAUUGACAGUAUGAAGGAGUCAAUCGGUGACAUCAUCAAUCAACUGCAGGACAUUGAUCUUGCCAGGCUGUCAUUCUCCCCGUUCCUCGACUUGGACACACAGAUCUCCUUGGCACAAGUGUCGGAUAAUCCUGAAUCUUCAGUGGAGGAGCUCUACUCCUCACUCUGUUACAGAGCUUGAUUCCUGCCACCAGCAACCCAGCAAGGGCUUCACGGCCGAGCGAAGACCGCAUGAUGGGGAAGAGGGAGUUCAGGAUGGAACUCUUUCCACUCUGAUUGUUACAGUGCACAAUUUGGAAGACCCGGUGGAAAACUGCAUCAGCACUCCAAAGUCAACCUCUCUGAGAGACAUUGCCAAUGACACAGACACAAAGAGAUUGAGUCCAGAAUCCAACAAUCUGGUGUCCACCAUUGAUGAAGGCCAACCGCUGCUCGGCUUGCCGCCGGAGGGCAUAGAGUUGACUGUGAGGCUGUCCCAGAGGUGGCAGGCAUGGUACCGUUCUGUUGCUGCUGUAGAUGCUGCCGAAGAGGCCACGUUCCUGUUGUGUGCUCAGUCCUGGCCUCCCUUCUGUUUGCUGCGGGGAGUCUCUAUGCACUCUAUUUCUACGUUCCCAUAGAUGCCCCAGACUGCCCUGACAUGGUCAGCUGCCUCACUUUCACACUUUGCUGCUGUUCUGUAGCUGCAGUCCCCAUCUUGUUGGCUAUGCUGAUUGGUGUGAUGUGCCAGUUCUGCACUGGGUCUUUGAAUGCAGCUAAGGCUCUCCCCGGAAGACCGGCCAUUCAGCAGCUGUUUGUCUAUGCGUCUAUGGAGCAGUUGUUUCUCUACAUUCUCAAUCUGUUGGUUCUGGCUAAAUUCCUGCCUCAAAACCAGCUGAGGGUGGUGCCCAUUUUGACUGUGGACUUUUCAUUGAAGGAAGGCUUGUCUACUGGCUCUGCCUCCAUAUUUGUAGCCCCUGGAGAGGCUUUGGAUCAGGGAUUACCAUUUUCCCGCUCCUUGCCAUGGUGGCUUUCGAUCUGUACUGUCUGUAUGACAUUAGCCUCCGACAGCUGCUCUUUGGGUCUGGGGACACACUCUGUAAUCAGACCACCCAUUCAUCCUGGCCUCUGGAGAUGUCACAGAGCCCCAGUGGCAAAUUCAGAUAGGGUCAUACCCACAGACAUCUUGGAAACUCAGUGAGGAGGAGAGCAUUUUCCCUUUCAACUUCAAGAGAAAGCUUAUCCCAGAAAUAGCCCAUUCUUGUGAUCUGUGUACAGUGAAGCUACACAGAAUGCCUCUAACCUCUAAGUCUGUAAAGGCUUAAGUUGUAUUUUGCUCAUCAUAUACAGGACCUUUUUAUGUGGAUUCAUGCAUAUUAUCUGAAAUGCAAGAGCCGUUCCUCCCUCUAGUUGUGGAGGAAGUCUUUAAGCAAUGUUCUACGUCUUAAUGUGUAAUUUUAAGCUAUUCCGCUGCCUAUAUUUAACAUGUUCUGUGAAGUACUUUGACUUAAAAUGUAUAAUUGCAAAUGGAUGGAUAUUCUACCAAUAGAUGUGCUCUCAUAAAAACCACUGAAUGCAACUUGGGUCUUAAAAAUAUAUUUAUUUUAUCCAUCCAAAAGUUUGUGAAUGAUACUUAAGUAACAAUGAAUGCAACUUGGGUCUUAAAAAUAUAUUUAUUUUAUCCAUCCAAAAGUUUGUGAAUGAUACUUAAGUAACAAUAAAAGCUAUUUGUAAAAUGUU